GUGAGAGUAAACUGGCAGAGGGAGGGGGAGAACAGAACAAUGGGGAAAAACCCAUUAGGCAAUUAAUCUCUCUUAAUAAGAACAUUAACAUUCUCCAAGCGAGAGCAGAGGCAGUUUGGAACUAGUCAAUUUUCUCUUUUCCAUCUCUUGGUGGAUAAUUGGGAAUACUGAGUUGGGGCAGGAUUACGGUUCCCCAGGUAACUGCUAUGGAAGCAGAAGGGAACAGAUUUCUCUUCACCACACCUCCAGGGGAACAAAUGGCGUGAACGAAAGCAAGAGAAAGACUUGGAUCACGGACAUAAGAUAUAUUGAGGCAACCCUUUAAUGGAACGGAGGGUGCCGUCCUAGGUGAUCUCUGAAGAGCUCGUUUCUUUGGAGGGCUUUUUCAAGUUUCCUUUCAAAGCACACCUCACACCAGGAAUGUGAGGGAAAUGGAUGAAGAACACUAUAGACCAAUUUCAGAUCAUGAGGGGGAAAAAAUACUGUAUGGUUGACUGAAGAGAUGGCAAGGUUACGGGACCAGACAUCUGUUAUUUUUUUCUAAAGAGACCAAUAACACUCAAGGUUUAUAUGCUUGAUUACAAACAGGCACAAGCGGCAUGAAAAUAGAGCUGUUACUCUUUAAAAUUCAGAGCAGGAGAUGCCCAUAAAAAAAAAUUUGACACGGGAUCAGAGGACAACCUCAAUAUCAAGGAUUGGUUAUUAAAAAAUUCCCAGAAAACCUGGCAUCUACUUAUUUGUUAAAAUGCCCAAAUUACACAUGCUCAGAUAAAGAGAGAAGCUUGACCCCGCUACACGCUCCAUUUACCCAAAACAAGCUACUUAUUAACUACCCAUACUGGAUCUGUUUGCUUAGUGAAUAUAAAUAAAUAGAUGCGGGUUGGAAAAAAAAGACGACAAAUUGAGUCUUUUUUUAUUACACAGGUAACUGGUAUUUAAUAGGCAAAUAUGUAGUUAGUAACUGGUAUUUAAUAGGUAAGAGUGUAGUUAGUAACUGGUAUUUAAUAGGUAAGAGUGUAGUUAGUAACUGGUAUUUAAUAGGUAAGCGUGUAGUUAGUAACUGGUAUUUAAUAGGUAAGCGUGUAGUUAGUAACUGGUAUUUAAUAGGUAAGAGUGUAGUUAGUAACUGGUAUUUAAUAGGCAAGAGUGUAGUUAGUAACUGGUAUUUAAUAGGCAAAUAUGUAGUUAGUAACUGGUAUUUAAUAGGUAAGAGUGUAGUUAGUAACUGGUAUUUAAUAGGUAAGAGUGUAGUUAGUAACUGGUAUUUAAUAGGCAAAUAUGUAGUUAGUAACUGGUAUUUAAUAGGUAAGAGUGUAGUUAGUAACUGGUAUUUAAUAGGUAAGCGUGUAGUUAGUAACUGGUAUUUAAUAGGUAAGCGUGUAGUUAGUAACUGGUAUUUAAUAGGCAAAUAUGUAGUUAGUAACUGGUAUUUAAUAGGUAAGCGUGUAGUUAGUAACUGGAUUUAAUAGGCAAAUAUGUAGUUAGUAACUGGUAUUUAAUAGGUAAGCGUUGUAGUUAGUAACGUAUUUAAUAGGUAAAUAUGUAGUUAGUAACUGGUAUUUAAUAGGUAAAUAUGUAGUUAGCAACUGGUAUUUAAUAGGUAAGCGUGUAGUUAGUAACUGGUAUUUAAUAGGUAAGAGUGUAGUUAGUAACUGGUAUUUAAUAGGUGAGUGUAGUUAGUAACUGGUAUUUAAUAGGUAAGAGUGUAGUUAGUAACUGGUAUUUAAUAGGUAAGAGUGUAGUUAGUAACUGGUAUUUAAUAGGUAAGAGUGUAGUUAGUAACUGGUAUUUAAUAGGCAAAUAUGUAGUUAGUAACUGGUAUUUAAUAGGUAAGAGUGUAGUUAGUAACUGGUAUUUAAUAGGUAAGACUGCAGUUAGUAAAUGGUAUUUAACAGGUAAGUACUUUAUUGAGUACAAGUAAAUAUUGUAUAUAUUGUACGUAAGUGCAUAGCAACGUAUGUGGAAAAGCUCAGGUAGCACUCAUACUGGACAAAAACCAUGUAAAAAUAAAAAAUUCCCACCUUGUGCAACUGUGUACACAUGGAGGCCAUGCUAAUGCGAACAGGCAUUCAGUAUAGCCAGCCAAUUAAACAGCCUUUGAUUAGCUUCUAAUGAGAGUUCACACUCAUCUCUAGCCUGGGUCACUUGUUUUGCUUUGGUGGCCUGCUACAAAUGAGCUCUUUUUGCAAGGUUGCCUUCUGCUUGGUCCCCAAAAGACAAACACCUCCACAAUUAGUGUCUGUAAUUGUUCACCCAUCACCUAGACCAAAUGCACCUGUAAUUACAGUGUCCCCGAGCAUGUGCGCACACACAGACAGACAGAGAGACAGACAGACAGAGCAAUUCACACACAUUAGAUGAUGCAUGUCAUUUACAAUGGUGCAGAUGCAUCUUCACAAUCACUUAAGAACGUGAAAAAUAUAGGAGAAACGAUUAUUUAUUUAUUCAUAAAUAAUAAUACUAAUACCAACUUUAAUAGUAACUAUUGUAAUAAUAAUAAUAGGUUCCACUGCCUAGUGAGUCUUACCAUAACAAAACACACAUGCCGAAUAUAAUUAACCUUCUUGCCACGAAACUAUUGCAAGUACUAGUUAAAAGUAUGGACAUAUGGGUGGAGUUAGAAAUAGUGCAGACCACUGAUUGGUCAAAUGCAAUCAAAAUCAGAAACAUCCUGAUAAUAUAACUAAGAACAGCAGCUCUUCUACCAGACAGUAAGCACAUUUUCAGAGGUAGUAAUGUCGCCAAAACUUGUUUCCUUUUUUAAAACAGGAAGGUUUUUAUACCACCGUGUGAUGCAGUUCUCGAAUGUGACUGGUCGUUCAAAGUUGUGCAUUAUUUUCGUAUAACAGCACGUCUCGGUCAGUUAUUGCGGCUGUAGCAUGAAUGAUACGUUAAUGUUCUGAUAUGUUAUUGCUUUCUGAUAUGUUAUUGCUGCGAUAGCAACCGGUCAUACACAGGGGCUUACGCUCCACAUAAUCUAAUCUUUCGAAAACAUAUUUAAAAAAUGUGCUGUUAAACUAAAUGUGCAAUAGUUUUUCGUUAGGAGACAUUUAUUUCACGUUUACGGAAGGAGUUUCGGUUGUAAUGGUCAGAGAGAGAGCGUGAGAGCAUGAGAGAGAGGCGCUGGUGAGGGAACGUUAUCGCAGCUGUCUGGGACAGCUUGCUAGAACUAGAUUGUCUCUCGGAUGUUCCACAACAUCUAAUUAUAACCUGUUAAAAUGUGUUGCGUGUUUAUUAAGAAAUUACACAUUGUACGAGUUGGAAAAAUCACUGCAGUAUAAGCAGAAUAAACACUCGAGGACCCGCGGUUAGGUAAAAAAUAAUGCAGUUCGGGGGAAGGGGUAGUGGUACUCCGCUGCGCGUCGUGUCGCAUCACGCCACUCCGGCGUGCAUUAUUUUUGUAUAUCCGCAUGUUCUGGAGUCUGUUAUUCCCUGUUCAUUUACGUAUUUGCUGUUGCUGCUGCUUCUUAUUCAUUUGUUUUUGCUUGUUUCUUGUCAUGCUUGGCGAAGAGUCAUAUUAAAGACCACUGCGUUGGCAAGCUGCUCUAACAAAAACAUUUCACACUGAAAUUGAUGUUUAGACAAGACGCUAUGUCACUUCAGGUUAAUAUAAAAUGUGCAACAUUAAUUUAUGACAUGGAUUUAAUCAUAGGAACAUUGCUCAGCUGCGCUUUUCCACCCAAUUUGUGUGCCGUAUUUGACAAAAGAUGCGAGGACCUGUGAACCGAGCUCUCACAAUAACAUCAGUUUGCAGUUUAAGUGACCGUGGCAGAUUUCCUUAGUGAGACUUUGUCAUGUGAAAACCUGAGCUUUUCUGUCAUACACAAUGCGUCCCCGUGAUUAUUAGGAUCUGCUGCAUCCUGUUUUUAAAUGCUACGUUAUAAUCCGCCAGCCAAUUAACGUGGUGGAUUACAGACAAAUCUGCAGAGGCAGCAAAUUAACAUAAUUACCACUACGACUAUUCAUGACUAUAUAUCUAUCCACACAAUUAAACAUCCAGUAGUAGCAGUCUGUAUAUGUAUAUAUGUGCAUACAUACAGAGUGCUACUACUGGAUGUUUAUUUGUGUUUUAGACUUCUGUUCAUUUCUCAUUUGCACGUUAUUAAAUUUAUCUGAAUUUCUUUUUAUGCUACAACACAUUGCAAUUGAUGGGGGGAAAAAACCUAUUUUAAAAAGUGCCAGAUUUUGGGUUCAUUUUAAAGGGAGGUGGAGACGCAACUGAAACAAAAAUUCCGUAAAAGAUCAACUCAAG
ensembl:lncRNA